rnacentral:rRNA from 1 species
GGACCCGCACAAGCGGUGGAGCAUGUGGUUUAAUUCGAUGCAACGCGAAGAACCUUACCUGGUCUUGACAUCCUGCGAACUUUCUAGAAAUAGAUUGGUGCCUUCGGGAACGCAGUGACAGGUGCUGCAUGGCUGUCGUCAGCUCGUGUCGUGAGAUGUUGGGUUAAGUCCCGUAACGAGCGCAACCCCUAUCCUUAUUUGCCAGCACAUCAUGGUGGGAACUAUAAGGAGACUGCCGGUGAUAAACCGGAGGAAGGCGGGGACGACGUCAAGUCAUCAUGGCCCUUACGACCAGGGCUACACACGUGCUACAAUGGGAAGGACAAAGAGCCGCGAAGCCGCGAGGUGUAGCU